rnacentral:rRNA from 1 species
AGAGUUUGAUCAUGGCUCAGGACGAACGCUGGCGGCGUGCUUAACACAUGCAAGUCGAGCGGAAAGGCUCCUUCGGGGGUACUCGAGCGGCGGACGGGUGAGUAACACGUGAGUAACCUGCCCUGGACUUUGGGAUAACCCUCGGAAACGGGGGCUAAUACCGGAUAUGACUGCUGGCCGCAUGGUUGGUGGUGGAAAGUUUUUCGGUCUGGGAUGGGCUCGCGGCCUAUCAGCUUGUUGGUGGGGUGAUGGCCUACCAAGGCGACGACGGGUAGCCGGCCUGAGAGGGCGACCGGCCACACUGGGACUGAGACACGGCCCAGACUCCUACGGGAGGCAGCAGUGGGGAAUAUUGCACAAUGGGCGGAAGCCUGAUGCAGCGACGCCGCGUGAGGGAUGACGGCCUUCGGGUUGUAAACCUCUUUCAGCACCGACGAAGCGAGAGUGACGGUAGGUGCAGAAGAAGCGCCGGCCAACUACGUGCCAGCAGCCGCGGUAAGACGUAGGGCGCGAGCGUUGUCCGGAUUUAUUGGGCGUAAAGAGCUCGUAGGCGGCUUGUCGCGUCGACUGUGAAAACCCGCGGCUCAACUGCGGGCUUGCAGCCGAUACGGGCAGGCUAGAGUUCGGUAGGGGAGACUGGAAUUCCUGGUGUAGCGGUGAAAUGCGCAGAUAUCAGGAGGAACACCGGUGGCGAAGGCGGGUCUCUGGGCCGAUACUGACGCUGAGGAGCGAAAGCGUGGGGAGCGAACAGGAUUAGAUACCCUGGUAGUCCACGCUGUAAACGUUGGGCGCUAGGUGUGGGGGGCCUCUCCGGUUCUCUGUGCCGCAGCUAACGCAUUAAGCGCCCCGCCUGGGGAGUACGGCCGCAAGGCUAAAACUCAAAGGAAUUGACGG